AUAUUAUUAAGGGGAGGAAAAGAAACUAACAAGGAUGCCCUCAGUAACGGCGAGUGAAGUGGGCAAAGCUCAAACUGAAAAUCCGUUCCCCAAGCGGGGGAUGCGAAUUGUAGUCUAUAGACGCGCUAGCAGCAGUGGGCCGGGUAUAAAUCUUUUGAAACAAGGUGUCAUAGAGGGUGAGAACCCCGUCCAUGACUCGGACUCCGUUGCGUACGCUGCGUGUUCAAAGAGUCGGGUUGCUUGGGAUUGCAGCCCUAAGUGGGUGGUAAACUUCAUCUAAAGCUAAAUAUGACCACGAGACCGAUAGCGCACAAGUA
rnacentral:rRNA from 1 species